rnacentral:rRNA from 1 species
UACGGAGGGUGCAAGCGUUAUCCGGAUUCACUGGGUUUAAAGGGUGCGUAGGUGGGCAAGUAAGUCAGUGGCGAAAUCUCCGGGCUUAACCCGGAAACUGCCAUUGAUACUAUUUGUCUUGAAUACUGUGGAGGUCAGCGGAAUAUGUCAUGUAGCGGUGAAAUGCUUAGAUAUGACAUAGAACACCAAUUGCGAAGGCAGCUGGCUACACAAAUAUUGACACUGAGGCACGAAAGCGUGGGGAUCAAACAGG